rnacentral:rRNA from 1 species
GACAGAGGGUGCAACCGUUGUUCGGAAUUACUGGGCGUAAAGCGAGUGUAGGCGGUCUGAAAAGUCGGAUGUGAAAGCCCCGGGCUCAACCCGGGAAGUGCAUUCGAAACUGCCAGGCUAGAGUGUCGGAGAGGUUGGUGGAAUUCUCGGUGUAGAGGUGAAAUUCGUAGAUAUCGAGAGGAACACCGGUGGCGAAGGCGGCCAACUGGACGAACACUGACGCUGAGACUCGAAAGCGUGGGGAGCAAACAGG